ACAGUAACGGUAACUGUGCUCCAUUAGCCAACCCAUGUGGUCAAGUCCCCUCCCCGUCCACCAACCUUGCCCUUAAUGAGAGCUGGAAGGGGGACACUCACAAAACACUGCUUCAGAAUAAUAUUCGGCUUUGUCCACGCCGGUAACAAGAGCUGACAGGAUCACUACGUCCAUUUCUCUUCUAAUUAGCACACUUCCAGCUCGGCCUGAGCCAGCAGCCAGAGAAAAGCGAUCGGACAACCGUACCGAAUCACAAACACAAAGAGGCCCAUUCCCCAUAAUUAGGUCUGACUUGGGGGAAUUCUUCUAACAAGCGGCAGCCAGCGCUCCCUGCGCCACAGACGGACAGGGAGCCGCCUCUCGGGCACCGGCAGGAGAAGGGGGACGGGGAGAAACAGCCAGAAAAGCAGUCCAGGCGCUGGGGCCCAGCUACGCGGCACGGGGCUGGUGGCUGGGCAGCAGCCACAAGGUGCUGGAGACAUGGAACUUCUCCAUCCUUACUCCAUCUCCACUGUCUCCCUGCGUGGUGGAAACCCAAGUUCAACUCUUUGGUCUGCCUUCUCCUCUGUCAUCUCCAGUGGUGGUCACAGGAAUCAGCAGGCAGGCCAGAGGUCAACCAUACAAACCCAACAAGAAAACGCCUAUUCUGUACAACCAUCAGCUGCCUGGAGUCAGUCAUCCCCCUCAAAGGGACACCACAGAAAAGGUCAAGUCUAAAAAUCGGCAGUUUCAGUGGAAGAUGAAGUCAAAAUGUGAAGAGAUCCUGCCAUGCUGAAAAUCUAGCACAACCUUAAUAAAACUGGCAUUGUUGCACAUUCUCUAUGACGAAU